AGCCCCUGGCAAUGGGCAGAGAGACACCUUGUUUGUGGUGAUGUUCUUUUAUCAGUCAGGGACAGAGCUGAUGGCAGGUCUCUGUUCAUCCUAGUUUGAUGCCUGGCUUGGUGGUCAAAGCUGUACUCUGCCUAGGACACAUUC